rnacentral:rRNA from 1 species
AUGUUCCUUGAAGUCUUGACUGGAAAGAGACCCAAGGAUGACUUUUUUGUUGGAGAUCGUAGUCUCAGGCGGUGGGUGCUGGAGGCGUUUCCUAGGGAGGUUGUCCAUGUCGUGGAUGACCAGCUAAUACAUGACUCUUCUUCCACUGUCAGCUUGGAAGGCUUUCUUGUGCCGAUGUUUGAGCUGGGCCUACUCUGCUCCAGCGACUCGCUUGACCAGAGAAUAACCAUGAGCAAUGUAGUCGUGAGAUUGAAGAAGAUCAAAGUGGAGUACACCAAAGCCAUAGGAGCAGCAGCAGCAGAACGGAGUGCUGCCCCAUGA